UAUAGACUGUUGGUGUAGAGCCUGAAAAACUCAUAAAUUGUGUGCUGUCAUCAGCUUCUUCUCAUGCAUUUACCACGAGAUUGGGGUCAAAUCACAGCACCAUAUUU